GGUUGAUCCUGCCAGUAGUCAUAUGCUUGUCUCAAAGAUUAAGCCAUGCAUGUCUAAGUACGUGCCUUAAAAAGGUGAAACCGCGAAUGGCUCAUUAAAUCAGUCAUGGUUUACUAGACCGUACUAUCCUACUUGGAUAACUGUGGUAAUUCUAGAGCUAAUACAUGCCAAGAGUCUCCUGCCCUUGUGGCUCGAGCGCUUUUAUUAGACCAAAACCAAUCGAGUAUUUAUACUCGUUAGUUUGUGGUGACUCUGGAUAACUUUGAGCGGAUCGCACGGUCUUCGUGCCGGCGACGUAUCUUUCAAAUGUCUGCCUUAUCAACUGUCGAUGGUAAGCUACUUGCCUACCAUGGUUGUAACGGGUGACGGGGAAUCAGGGUUCGAUUCCGGAGAGGGAGCCUGAGAAACGGCUGCCACAUCCAAGGAAGGCAGCAGGCACGCAAAUUACCCACUCCCAGCACGGGGAGGUAGUGACGAAAAAUAACAAUGCGGGACUCUUACGAGGCCCCGUAAUUGGAAUGAGCACACUUUAAAUCCUUUAACGAGGACCUAUUGAAGGGCAAGUCUGGUGCCAGCAGCCGCGGUAAUUCCAGCUUCAAUAGCGUAUAUUAAAGUUGUUUGCGGUUA
rnacentral:rRNA from 1 species